rnacentral:rRNA from 1 species
UACGUAGGGUGCGAGCGUUAAUCGGAAUUACUGGGCGUAAAGCGUGCGCAGGCGGUUUUUUAAGCCAGAUGUGAAAUCCCCGGGCUUAACCUGGGAACUGCAUUUGGAACUGGAAGACUAGAGUACGUCAGAGGGGGGUAGAAUUCCACGUGUAGCAGUGAAAUGCGUAGAGAUGUGGAGGAAUACCGAUGGCGAAGGCAGCCCCCUGGGAUAACACUGACGCUCAUGUACGAAAGCGUGGGUAGCAAACAGG